rnacentral:misc_RNA from 1 species
GAUGAAGAACGUAGCGAAAUGCGAUAAGUAAUGUGAAUUGCAGAAUUCAGUGAAUCAUCGAAUCUUUGAACGCACAUUGCGCCCCCUGGUAUUCCUGGGGGCAUGCCUGUCCGAGCGUCAUUACAACCCUCAAGCUCAGCUUGGUGUUGGGCCCCGCCGCCCCGGCGGGCCCUAAAGUCAGUGGCGGUGCCGUCCGGCUCCGAGCGUAGUAAUUCUUCUCGCUCUGGAGGUCCGGUCGUGUGCUCGCCAGCAACCCCCAAUUUUUUUCAGGUUGACCUCGGAUCAGGUAGGGAUACCCGCUGAACUUAAGCAUAUCAAUAAGCGGAGGA